rnacentral:lncRNA from 1 species
UAGUUUCUAACUCUUCUUUUUUCCCAUUCAUCUAUAUGUCAGAGCUUUACUGGAAAAAGGUAACUUACACGACCAUUGUAUUGAUUAAGCAACUAAUAUAUUUCUAUGAUGAUUAAACAUGCUGCAUAUUUGAAUUCAUAAGUGUUGAAUUUUAUAUUUGAAUUGAGGCGAGAUGAUAGAAGAGGGAGCUUUAGCUUUGAAGAUGUACUUGAAAAAACUCUCAUAAUUAUGCUGGUUUUGAUGAAAUUUGGGUUUUGUUUCUUAGCUCCUUGAUAUGUAUAUGCUUAUGGAUGCUAUUUCAAGUUUGGAAGAGCAUAUGCUUUAUUGUGUAUACUGAAUCACAAGUUUUCUUAUGUAGUUAUAAUUUGGUUGGCCAGUUGGUUGAUAUCAAUUUAGGAAAUCGUUGGUUUUGAUGUGUAAAUGAGUGUUAUAUGGUGCUCAAAACAAUUAUUAUAUCUAUAUCUACUUAUGUAAAGGUUUUCAACAAUUUCCAUCGUGGUUAGUGAUUGCAGGCAAUAUCUAUAUAUUCUUUUUAGUAAGAACAAUAGAAAUUUUAUGCAGAGGUCUAGUAAUUAGUAAGGGGGUGCAACUUGUGUUCUUGCAAAACCCAGUCAACUUGGGAUACGCUUGAUUUUUCUACAUUGUAAUGUAUUAUGUAUUUUUGCUAUGACUGAAUGUAAUAUGGGCAGAAAUCAAUCAUUUAUAAGAUUCGUAAUAAGACUGUCAGUUCUUUUCAUAGAAAAAUGAAAUAUUAAAAUUUGAUAGUGAUUUUGUAGUUGGAGAGUGUUCUGAUUUUAGUAACUUGUAAGCGAGCUAAGCUUUAAGAUGAUGGUAAGUGUUACUCUAAACUUGUCAAAAUAAAAAUUAAAAACAUUGAAGAGAAAAAAGUAUAGUGAUGCUCUAUCAAAAUUAUGGUUACAUAUUGAGUGAAUCUCAUACUUUCUUAAAUGAUAUAUGAUAUUUUAAGUUUCAUGGUCAGAAUGACAAUUUUCUUUAAUAUUUACUUGAAUGAAUUUGUGAAUGAUCUUAUAAUCGUAGUCUUUACUUUUAACUACUUAACAUGACAUUCUUUUGAACAUUGUUGUCUAGUUUGUGGAGCUACCUGCAACUUCCACUUGUGAGAUGAUAAUCUUGCAUUGAAGCCACAAGAUAUCUGUAAAGGCGGUUGAUCUCUUUUCUUUCUGGUGCUUUAAAUUUAGUUUACUUGGAAAACAAUGGUGUUGUCGAUCUUUUUGACAAUUGAAAUUGGCCGUCAGUCUUGAGUUUACUUUACCGUUCCUAUUUGCUAUGACCAGGCCAAGUAAUAAUGAUCAUUGAUGUAUUUAUAAAUGGACUACUUUCAUUUGUCAUGAAUCAUUGCUGCACUUUGUUUGCAAAGGUGAUUAUUUUCUGCACUUGAGAAACUCGAGUAGCAGAAAUGAAUCUCAUCCUUUUUGCUUGAUAUGCAUGGUAGGAAGUAAUAUGAAAAAAAUGCGUUAUAGUUGGUUUCUAUCCUUUGUAAAUUGUAACCAAAAUGAAUCUCAUACUUUUUCCUUUUUGCUUGAUAUGUCAUGUAUUUUUCUAUGGGAAAUUUCCUUUAGGAACCAAAAUGAAUUGAUUUCGGUUGCCUUUUGUUAGGAAACCGUAUAUGGUUAUGAUACUC